rnacentral:tRNA from 1 species
GGGGAGGUAGCUCAGUGGUAGAGUGCUUGCCUCAUAUGCAUGAGGCCCUGAGUUCGAUUCCUCCGCACCUCA